CCUACGGGAGGCUGCAGUGGGGGAUAUUGCACAAUGGGGGGAACCCUGAUGCAGCGACGCCGCGUGGGUGAAGGAGUGCUUCGGCAUGUAAAGCCCUAUCGGCAGGGAAGAAGCAAGACGGUACCUGACUAAGAAGCCCCGGCUAACUACGUGCCAGCAGCCGCGGUAAGACGGAGGGGGCCAGCGUUAACCGGAUGCACUGGGUGUAAAGGGAGCGUAGACGGCCAGACAAGUCAGAAGUGAAAACCCUCGGCGCAACGGCGGUAGUGCUUUUGAAACUGUUUGGCUGGAGUGCAGGAGAGGUAAGUGGAAUUCCUAGUGUAGCGGUGAAAUGCGUAGAUAUUAGGAGGAACACCAGUGGCGAAGGCGGCUUACUGGACUGUAACUGACGUUGAGGCUCGAAAGCGUGGGGAGCAAACAGGAUUAGAUACCCCUGUAGUC
rnacentral:rRNA from 1 species